GCCGCAAAUUACUCAUCCAAGCGAUCCUGACCUUUAUCAAUGUGGUUUACGAACAAAGCAGAAUUUAUCCCGCUGCUCUGAGAGAACUGGGAACGAAACCGAGAUCAAAUCUAGCAAAAAUAAAGGGUGGGCGGGUAUGUUAAUGCUAUGGGUAAUAUUCUGGCAAAGUAAAAUGUGUGUUGAUGAAUUACAGGCUUUUACAAAUUCCUAACAAUAAGUGUUCAAACGCGUUACAUGCAGGUAAGGGUUCAAAAGGAACUGUCAUAUAUGAGCAACCUUUUAAAGUGUCAUUACAGGUAACUUUUCUUUCCAACUGCUCGAAACAAACGACUUCGCUGGAAAUUGGUUUUUGAUUCUGCAAGGUAGAACAUCUGCUUAUUCUUAUUUUCUUGUGAAUAUCUUAGGUCUGGUAUGUUGACUGUACUUCGUUCUGUAUAACCUCGACAAGUACUAUUGCCUUAAUUAGAGAAAAAUGGGUAGUCAAAAACCAAUAGUAUUAUUUGUUCAAAUUAAAAAAAUUUUUGCAAAUUGUCAGUUUUUAUAUGCGCUGUAUUGCUGCUACUGUGUGGGGUCAGGGACUUCUUUCAGGCACUCAUUUUGUUACUGCAUCGUCUUGAGAUUUUAUAUAAUUUCAGGGAAUACUAUAUUCCAAUAAUUUUUCGGUCCAUCAUGGUUCACCAUGCAUGAUCGAUAAUUACGUAUUGGCUGGUAAUUAUAAAAUUAACUGACAGGCACAUAUACAGACAAGGGGAGGGUCGGUUGGUUUGUGGGACCGUGUCUACUUUUUAGAGCGCAGCGCUUUGGCGCCUAUUCCUGGGGUGAGUGUUGCCAUAACCGAGCGAACAAGCACAGCGAAAGAUGAAGGCAAAUGCGGAGCACAGCGGGUGAUGAAAGAUGCGAGCAGGAAAGCAGAGGAGGGGGAGGGUAUGGUGAAAGGGUGAGGAAAAUGUAGUGCGGCAAUGAUUAAUACGAGAUGGCUCAAGACUAGUGCGGGUUGUCUAGAAGGCCUGUCGAUGACGGCUGCUGUGAAUCGCGCCCACACGUCACCCGCACGCUGGCUCUUGCGAUCUCCAAAUUAGCGAAUCAGUCGCGCCACAAUUUGCUCUGUUUGCAAGCAAAAGACAGCCUGUCCGCGCCAGCCAAUAUAUCGCAAAAUGAAAACACGUAUAGAGCUGUGCUCGAAUCUCGCAUGAGGGAAUAUCGUAAUCGUUGGUGAAAUUUUUAGAUAACAAAUAAAGCUUUUGGCCACAGUUGGUGACUUUUUUGGCUACUUUCUGGAAUUUCAGCUACUUUUUCUCCUGAAGACUUGGCAACCAUGGUCGAAGCAAACAGCCGGAAAGCCAGCUCUGGAGAUCUGUGGAUUCUAUGGAUUGCCGCUGUUUGAAAUUGAGUGUUUCGAGAAAGAAAACGAGGCUCGGAAGAAGCGUUGGGCAGAGCAGGCGAGGCAUUGUUAUGCAGCAAAACGCGGCGCCGCGCAAGCAGAUGCAGCAAGCGAAACGUAAGCGUAGCAAAAUAAACUAGAGGCGAUAUUUUAAGCGAAACAUGAGAUGUACCAGAAGAAACAUGAGGCCAUUUUCCAAGCAAAAUGAGAAGCCUACCAGAAGAAACGAGAGGCGACCCUUACAGCGAGACACGUAGUGUACCGCUAGCAACAGGCGACGUUGGACGAAAAAAAACGAGAGACGAUGCUAGAAGUGAAACUCGAAGAUAGGCGUCGUUGGAGGUCUGCAUUGGAUGACUCGCAACAAGAAGCGAUGCUAGAAGCUAGGCGGGAAGAGUAUGACAUGAAACGGGCGGCGAUAGACGAGGACAAACAAGGAGAACUUCUUCGACGAGGAAAGAGAAAUCAAAUUUAUUGCAGUUUCCCCAAACAGCACCGAUUGCCACUAUGUCAAUCGUAUGACAUUCUUUAUACACACAAACACUUCACAUCAUUUACAUGUCAAAAGUGACUCAUACCUGCAUAAUUUUUCUUAUGCAGUUCUGCUAAUGGCUAGUAUUUAAAGACGGGGGGGGGGGAAGUAGGUAUCAACCUAGUAGAUUAUCCGUUUCGGUAGUCGCUGAUUGGCUGGAGCUGAACCAGCGAGACGCAAACUGACUGUGGUCAUCCGUUUCCUUCUCGGUGGUGCCCCAGCCCAGCCAGUCAGCACUUAAGCAGCAGCCGAAAUGAUCAUGGCUACGAGGUGGACAUUUACAGUCUGCCCCCCCCGCCCCUCGCCGUGAUUACUAUAGCUUUUUCGCAGAAGUUGCUAAGCGACAGAGCAAAAAUGUUUGUGAAAACGCAAAGCUGACUUGACUCAGGCACACACUUGCCAAAGUUUUGCAAUGCAUACAACAUGUGCCUUGAAAGAGCAGUGUUGUUCCAGCGGGCAAGACCACGUAGUUGUGCUGCUUACAAGAAAUAUUAAUUAAUUUAAAAUAGUGAAAAAACGGUCAGCGUAUAAUAUGCAUGCUUAGUAACGUCUGCUGUUGGGCUUGUCGGAACAUGGCUAGGAACGGUAUGCAUGCUGCUACCGUUUAGACAUGCAAAUAUGCAUGCUGCUAGUAUUAUUUUUUCUAAUGUUUGUGAUCAUUGCCAUUGUUUUGCUAAGUUGUCAGUAUAUAAGCUUUGUAGUUUGAGAAUUUCACAAUGCCGCACAUCUUGCUCAGAUCGGAGCAGCUAGCCGAAGUGUCUGUCCUGUUUUCACAAGAGCGAGUUAGCACUCGGUUGUGUGUUGGCCACAGACAUGAAUUGCACACGAUUGCCAGAGUUUUGCUAUAGCAUGCAUCUAUUGGAACAGCAAUGCAGAUCCUGCCGUGCCAAGAACUCCACAGUGUGUCGUGCCAGUCUGCCACUCGCGAUCGGCACCCAGCUCCAUCCUGUACCCCUUGCCUGCCAAACCGACCCAGCGCCAGGCUUGGAUUGACUUUGUGCGCGGGUGCCCCUGUGGUGCUGCCCGUGACUGGAAUCCACCAACCAAUGAAAUCAGCUUGGUGUGCUCACUGCACUUCACAAUUCGCUGCUUCAGGUUCGAGCAACUACGUGGCUGCAGCAUGGGCUGGAGGAAGCGUCUAAGAAGGGGCGCCGUGCCAACGCUGUACCCAGUCGAAGAGCGGUGCACUUUAGUGGCCAAUGAGAAUUCCACGGCCGACACCGCAUCAAUUUUGGGUUCCUCUGAUUUGGAAGGGAGGACCCGUGACUCAUUUGCUUCCAGCCAAUCAGUUGCAGAACAAGAUGGAGGCCACUGUGCAAGUGACCAGGAUGCAGUGCGGAGGUUGGUUCGCCUUGCAGCAUUUGAGCUCAUCUUCCCCAAGGACGUCUCCACCCAGUGUAGCGUGGAAAUGGCCUCAAAGGCUGCCAGCUGUGUUGUCAGAACUGUGUCCAAGUCAGUGCAGUGCAGUGGGUGAAUGGUGUUCAUAUCUGGAGAGACUUUAAACAGCCAGCAAAAGAUGCUAGCCUAAAUACACGUGUGGUGUGCUUAUCCCGAUCGGCCAGGAGCCUUAGUGACUGUGAUAUUCUGCAAUUCAAGUGAAAAAGUCUGUCCUCAUAUAAAAAUGAGUCCGCUGUCUUGGAAAAUAUGGCCAGGGAAAAUUGGACCCACGGAGAAGCCCCUGAAAUUGUUUGCCGUAGCCACCACUGAUGAUCUUUAAAACAGAGUAUGGCUGCUGUGAAGGAGACGCCUACAUUCCCUUCAGUGCCGCAUGCAGUUGAGGCCACAUCGGAGACCCAAGCUGGCAAGGCUCAGAAAAAUGGCUUAAACUAUCGUACGCACACAUUUUUAAGGAGUCUUAGUGUUGUGCCCUUGCUCUCACAUGCACUACACCUGCUGAUGAGGUACCUACCAAUCGCCGUUCGACAAGUCGUAUGUGUACUACAUUCAUUAAUAGAAGUCAUCCUUGUUCUGAACAACCAGCACACUACAUCUACUCAAAUGUACUGGAUAGACUGACAGGGUCAUACAAGUUUCAGAGACAAAAAUUCGAGGAUAUUCAAAGACUUUCAAGGCCCUGUCCAAUCUUUUUCAAGGGUGCAGAACGCCGUCCCAUGGAGCAAUAUUUUACGAUAACGUUUCCAAAACAUUAUAGAUUGCUUUAUUGCACUAGAGAUACAAAAAUUUUAUUAGAAAGGUUCAGCCUUGAUCACUUCAAGUUCCUAACUUGCACAAAAGUUGAGAACAUUAAUGCAGCUGCUGGGACUUCGCUUGCAUUAGCUGGAUAAUGUUCACAGUUUCUCCCACUUUGCAUUUUAUAGUCUACUGCAAGCUGUUCGAUUUCACUACUAAGGUGAUGUCAUUGCAUGCUUCCGGUUUUUCUGUGUAGAGUGGUCUGUUGAAGCAGUCAUAUUAGGAAUGACUGCUUCAAGUUCUUUUUUACUUUUUUCUCAUAUUGUCAAUUUCAUCCUGGGCCAGAUGCUUUUUUGGCUGCCCAGAGUCCUCAAGCUCCUCCUUUCUUUUUUUGGCACUUCCAUUUGCGCAUUGUAGCGGAUCCUUGCUGCUGACACAUACGUUCUUAGCUCCUCCAUGAUGGAGGCACUCAGAAUACAACCAACUUUAUUUGCUGCAUCACAUAUGAUGUGCUGUGAGACAUGAGACAAGUUCGUGAGGUUCUCUACAGCAACCUGGCGGAUUAUGUGCAACCCCCGCUCCACAGUUGCCUAUCUAGGGCUGAGGACAAGUACCAGCUUGACAGCAUUCCACAGCUUGCCAUACGAAGUGAAGUACUCAAGCCUAUGAGCUCAUAGAAGAACUCAUCCAGCCAAUUCAAGCCAUUCUCGAAAAGUCGAAGCUUGUUGAGAAUUGUUAGCGACCGCCACACGUUUGUAGCACCCGUGUUUGGGGACCCAAUGACGUAAAAUAGAGGGAGCCGGCAAACAGACAAGGGCAAACAGGCUGGGCUAGCGUUCCUGCCGGCGCCUCGACCCGCAACUUGAUCCGUGCCCCGUGUUUUCGGCGGACUGCCUGCUGAGUACCAAUCGCUGGCGCCUCCGAGAGGCUCGAAAGUGUCGGUGCAGCCUACAGAGAACUCGGAUUUUGUGUUUUCUUUCACUUUCGUUUCUGUUCCCUGCAAUCUGUCUUUUGUAAAAUAAACAUUCAGUCUUGAAGCGAAGCCUGACGUGUGAGCAUCGUUGCUUCGAGGUUUCUGUGUGUGCGGCCACUACGCCACCAGAAAUAUUCUCAGGUAGUGACAUUUGCAUUCGCGAAGUGACUUCCACAGUGUUCGUCAUAGCCUUUUAUUCCACAGUGCUGAUGUUUUUGCUCUUGCAACAACUCGGUGCAUUCAGCCGCAGCAGAGUCCCGUUGUUUGUCACCUGCUCUACCUGCUACGAUGAGGGCAUCCACCACUUUCCUUAGGCCUGCAAGACACUCAUCUGGUUUGCAGCACGUGCGCUGCGAGUCCAGAGAAGACAGACCUCUGACCAGGGACAAUUCCAGGGGCCCUUCUCGAGUACUAUUAAAUGCAAUUAGGAUUCUUUGGGAACUUCAACCAGUUUGCGGUAUAUCUCCGUCUAUGUAUUUAUGGUUGGCGCCUAGCCUCUUUACCGCCAACUUGGAUCACUGGUUAGUCCAUGGUCAAAUUAAGGUUAGAGCACUGGGCUGCUGUGCUGAGGGAACUAAAUUCAAAACCAACUGUCGGACCAACUUGUGUGGGGAGCUGUCAAACAACAUCCUCAGGUUGAUCAUUGGGCUAGUUGGUCCUGCAUUAUUGAGGUAUUUUUCAGCGUGUUAGACGUUGACAAAAAAGUGUACGCACACAGCUCUGUGUGUGUUCACUUGUCCCAGUCUAACACGCUGAAAAAUACCUCAAGCAUGCUCGGACUUGAUUGUAGGACGUCAAGUUCCCACUUCCUUAUAGACAUUCUGGACUGUGUGAAGGCCACACGUGCUUAAAUCAACACACUGCACUUCGUAGUUUUCAAGCAAGUCUGCUUUCAGGAACCUAAAUAACUUUAGGUUAACUUUCAGCCCAUCCAUUGAAACUUGGGCAAUCUUCCCAAGUGGUAAAGGCUCCAAGGCCUUUAAAGGAACACUAAAGGCAAAUAUUGGGCAGCGUAGCAGCGUGCCCUUUAUUGACGAGUGUUGUCUACAGGCAACAUACCAGAAAAAAAAAUAUCUUCUCACCUAGUUUCACCAUUAAGUACUAAGUUCCCGGAUAAAUAUCUUUGGCCAACACUGAAUGACAGGCAGCAAGCAUCAUAUAGUGGUUUAUAACAGGAACACUGGAUGAGGAAGAAGUUCGGCACGCGACUCAGUCUUUUGAAAACGAGGUCAGAAGAGAAAAGCCGAUGCAAGGAAUCUGGUUGCAGUGGUGUCACACAUGUGAUGUAAAGCAAAUGAAAUGUACACCUAUGGUUCACAUAUGAUGAGAGCUGUCUGUACAAAUUGAAAACGAAGCCUUAGGUGCCUUGGGGUGAAGCCCACUUCCAAUUUCUGGCCUGGGGUUUUCCCCCUAUUGCUGAAAAAGUUUGUACAAUAUAUUUUUUCUUUUUGUUAAUUAUGCCGAUUCUUGAUGUGUUUUGCACGUUUAGAUAGAAAAUAUUUAUUUUUGUUGGCUAUUUAUAUGUCUCGUCCUUAAAGGGUUAAUAUGGUAUUGCCAAGACCUUGCAGUGCUGGUUUCGUGCCAAAAAAAGCCUUAGCUUUAAGAGAAAAUUGCAUCUCAAGGAUCUGUAUAACUCUAGCGUAAUUCAAUUUGCCCACCUUUGAGCUGGGUGGGUGAGUAAAACGGCGUCCAACAGACGGGUGCUACGUUUUUUUUUUUUUUUUGCACAAAAUGCAAACGCAUGGCCAUGGAGAAACCGAGCCAAGACAGAGCGUUAGAUUCUCCGCUGCAGCUGCUCUUGGUCAAGUGGCGUGCACCGUUUGGGCAUCGCGUGACAUCACAUGGACGUGGCAUUCUCUACUACCUUGUGCGAGUUUCGCGAGCCAGCAUAACCAGCGCUGCUCUACACGAUAACGAAACUACUGAAACAUGAAAGCGGGGUCGGCGCAGAGUCGAGUCAAAACCUUUUGACCACCCGAGUUGUCAAAGGUAACAACAAGCUUUCUUUCUUUCUUUUUUUUUUUUCUAGAAAUUGAACAGAACUGAACAACUAGCAUAU